AGAGUUUGAUCCUGGCUCAGGAUGAACGCUAGCUACAGGCUUAACACAUGCAAGUCGAGGGGCAGCAUGGGGGUUGCUUGCAAUCCCUGAUGGCGACCGGCGCACGGGUGAGUAACGCGUAUCCAACCUGCCCUUGUCCGCGGCACAGCCCGUCGAAAGGCGGAUUAAUGCCGCAUGCGGUCCGAAGACGGCAUCAGAUUCGGACGAAAGGCUUUUGUCGGAGAAGGAUGGGGAUGCGUCCGAUUAGCUAGACGGCGGGGUAACGGCCCACCGUGGCGACGAUCGGUAGGGGUUCUGAGAGGAAGGUCCCCCACAUUGGGACUGAGACACGGCCCAAACUCCUACGGGAGGCAGCAGUGAGGAAUAUUGGUCAAUGGGCGUAAGCCUGAACCAGCCAAGUAGCGUGCAGGACGACGGCCCUACGGGUUGUAAACUGCUUUUGCGCGGGGAUAAAGUGCGGGACGUGUCCCGCAUUGCAGGUACCGCGCGAAUAAGGACCGGCUAAUUCCGUGCCAGCAGCCGCGGUAAUACGGAAGGUCCGGGCGUUAUCCGGAUUUAUUGGGUUUAAAGGGAGCGCAGGCGGUUGGGAAAGCGUGCCGUCAAAUGUCGGGGCUCAACCCCGGAAAGCGGCGCGAACUGUCCGACUUGAGUACGCGGAAGGCAGGCGGAAUUCGUGGUGUAGCGGUGAAAUGCAUAGAUAUCACGAAGAACCCCGAUUGCGAAGGCAGCCUGCCGCAGCGCAACUGACGCUGAGGCUCGAAAGCGCGGGUAUCGAACAGGAUUAGAUACCCUGGUAGUCCGCGCGGUAAACGAUGGACGCCCGCCGUGGGGUAGGUAUAUUCCGCGGCCAAGCGAAAGCGUUAAGCGUCCCACCUGGGGAGUACGCCGGCAACGGUGAAACUCAAAGGAAUUGACGGGGGCCCGCACAAGCGGAGGAACAUGUGGUUUAAUUCGAUGAUACGCGAGGAACCUUACCCGGGCUUGAAAGUUACUGACGAUUCUGGAAACAGGAUUUCCCUUCGGGGCAGGAAACUAGGUGCUGCAUGGUUGUCGUCAGCUCGUGCCGUGAGGUGUCGGGUUAAGUCCCAUAACGAGCGCAACCCCUACCGUUAGUUGCCAUCAGGUCAAGCUGGGCACUCUGGCGGGACUGCCGGUGUAAGCCGAGAGGAAGGUGGGGAUGACGUCAAAUCAGCACGGCCCUUACGUCCGGGGCUACACACGUGUUACAAUGGGGGGUACAGAAGGCAGCUACACGGCGACGUGAUGCUAAUCCCUAAAGCCUCUCUCAGUUCGGAUUGGAGUCUGCAACCCGACUCCAUGAAGCUGGAUUCGCUAGUAAUCGCGCAUCAGCCAUGGCGCGGUGAAUACGUUCCCGGGCCUUGUACACACCGCCCGUCAAGCCAUGGGAGCCGGGGGUACCUGAAGUGCGUAACCGCGAGGAGCGCCCUAGGGUAAAACUGGUGACUGGGGCUAAGUCGUAACAAGGUAGCCGUACCGGAAGGUGCGGCUG
rnacentral:rRNA from 1 species